rnacentral:rRNA from 1 species
ACGCUGGCGGCGUGCUUACACCUGCAUGUUGUAACGAACUUCGGGUUAGUGGCGGACGGGUGAGUAACGCGUGAGAAUCUGCCCUCAGGAGGGGGACAACAGUUGGAAACGACUGCUAAUACCCCAUAUGCCGCGAGGUGAAAUGAAUUUCGCCUGAGGAUGAGCUCGCGUCUGAUUAGCUAGUUGGUGUACCGUAAUGGCUCACCAAGGCAUCGAUCAGUAGCUGGUCUGAGAGGAUGAUCAGCCACACUGGGACAGAGACACGGCCCAGACUCCUACGGGAGGCAGCAGUGGGGAAUUUUCCGCAAUGGGCGAAAGCCUGACGGAGCAACGCCGCGUGAGGGAUGAAGGCCUCUGGGCUGUAAACCUCUUUUAUCAAGGAAGAAGAUCUGACGGUACUUGAUGAAUAAGCCACGGCUAAUUCCGUGCCAGCAGCCGCGGUACAUACGGGAGUGGCAAGCGUUAUCCGGAAUUAUUGGGCGUAAAGCGUCCGCAGGCGGCCCUUCAAGUCUGCUGUUAAAACAGUGGAGCUUAACUCCAUCAUGGCAGUGGAAACUGUUGGGCUUGAGUGUGGUAGGGGCAGAGGGAAUUCCCGGUGUACGGGUGAAAUGCGUAGAUAUCGGGAAGAACACCCAGUGGACGAAAGGCGCUCUG